rnacentral:rRNA from 1 species
CACGUAGGGCGCAAGCGUUUGUCCGGAAUUAUUGGGCGUAAAGGAGCUCGUAGGUGGUCUGUUGCGUCCGCUGUGAAAACCCGAGGCUCAACCUCGGGCCUGCAGUGGGUACGGGCAGACUAGAGUGCGGUAGGGGAGAUUGGAAUUCCUGGUGUAGCGGUGGAAUGCGCAGAUAUCAGGAGGAACACCAAUGGCGAAGGCAGAUCUCUGGGCCGUAACUGACGCUGAGGAGCGAAAGCAUGGGGAGCGAACAGG